UACGUAGGUGGCAAGCGUUGUCCGGAUUUAUUGGGUUUAAAGGGUGCGUAGGCGGUUUUGUAAGUCAGUGGUGAAAUACUCUAGCUUAACUAGAGGGGUGCCAAUGAUACUGCAGAACUUGAGUACAGAUGAGGUAGGCGGAAUUGACGGUGUAGCGGUGAAAUGCAUAGAUAUCGUCAAGAACACCUAUAGCGAAGGCAGCUUACUGGGCUGUAACUGACGCUGAGGCACGAAAAGUGUGGGGAUCAAACAGG
rnacentral:rRNA from 1 species